CUAUACAUGACUCUGCGCAUAUCAAUAAGCGGAGGAAAAGAAGCUAACAAGGAUUCCCUUAGUAACGGCGAGUGAAGCGGGAAGAGCUCAAAUUUGAAAUCUUCAAGGUUUUACCUUGACGAAUUGUAGUUUAAAGAAGUGUUUUCUGCUGAAGUUUUGGUAAAAGUUCUUUGGAAUAGGACAUCAUAGAGGGUGAGAAUCCCGUAUUUGACCAUUACUUUCAACUUUGUGAUACACUUUCAAAGAGUCGGAUUGUUUGGGAAUGCAGUCCAAAAUGGGUGGCUAAAUUUCAUCUAAAGCUAAAUAUUGGCGAGAGACCGAUAGCGAACAAGUACCGUGAGGGAAAGAUGAAAAGAACUUUGAAAAGAGAGUUAAACAGUACGUGAAAUUGUCAAAAGGGAAGCGUUUGACACCAGUGUUGUUUUCUCGGAAAUCAAUUAAAAAUGGCUCGAUUUUGUAUUGUUGAGACCUUAAAAGCUCACUGUACAUUUUUCGUGUCUUUUUUAAUGCACUUUUCGUUUAACAAGUCAACAUCAGUUUCUUUUGUUGUAAAAGGGUCAUUGGAAGGUGGCUUUCUUUUCGGAGAAAGUGUUUAUAGCCUUUGGCCUCUGCAAUUGGAGAGACUGAGGAUCCUGCAGCGUAGACUCUUCGGGGUUAGAUACAUUUGUGCUAAGUUAUAGCUUUUUAUAGACAACUUGUUGACUAUAAUUAGUCUUGUAGCUUACUCGCUUAUGCUAUUUUACCUACGCUUAGGAUGUUGACACACGCGCGUGCUCGGCUCUAUACAUGACUCUGUGCAUAUCAAUAAGCGGAGGAAAAGAGGGCUAUUACCUACGCUUAGGAUGUUGACAGCAGUAUAGACUGU
rnacentral:rRNA from 1 species